rnacentral:rRNA from 1 species
UACGGGGGGGGCAAGCGUUGUUCGGAAUUACUGGGCGUAAAGGGCUCGUAGGUGGCCAACUAAGUCAUACGUGAAAUCCCUCGGCUUAACCGGGGAACUGCGUCUGAUACUGGAUGGCUUGAGGUUGGGAGAGGGAUGCGGAAUUCCAGGUGUAGCGGUGAAAUGCGUAGAUAUCUGGAGGAACACCGGUGGCGAAGGCGGUUCUCUGGGAAUGACCUGACGCUGAGGAGCGAAAGUGUGGGGAGCGAACAGG